rnacentral:rRNA from 1 species
UGGGGAAUUUUGGACAAUGGGCGCAAGCCUGAUCCAGCCAUCCCGCGUGUGCGAUGAAGGCCUUCGGGUUGUAAAGCACUUUUGGCAGGAAAGAAACGGCGCUGGUUAAUACCUGGCGCAACUGACGGUACCUGCAGAAUAAGCACCGGCUAACUACGUGCCAGCAGCCGCGGUAAUACGUAGGGUGCAAGCGUUAAUCGGAAUUACUGGGCGUAAAGCGUGCGCAGGCGGUUCGGAAAGAAAGAUGUGAAAUCCCAGGGCUUAACCUUGGAACUGCAUUUUUAACUACCGGGCUAGAGUGUGUCAGAGGGAGGUGGAAUUCCGCGUGUAGCAGUGAAAUGCGUAGAUAUGCGGAGGAACACCGAUGGCGAAGGCAGCCUCCUGGGAUAACACUGACGCUCAUGCACGAAAGCGUGGGGAGCAAA